rnacentral:lncRNA from 1 species
UAUCGGUAGCAGUACUGCGAACUCUGUAUGUUUAUAUGGCAUGCCAUACCCUUAUACUAACCUCGACUCCUAUUACGUUUACCAGGGCCAAGCACUAUUAAUUCAAUGUAUCAAUGUAAAAUGCAUGCCAUUUGAAGCUAUUUGAAUUCAUUUUCCAAGUUACAUAUAUCAUAUGCCAAGAUUUACAAUAUGGAAAACUCAUGGCAAAUAGUGCAAAACUUUAUUGACUUAGCAUUUUAAUGUAGAAAACUACAUUCUGCCAUAUAUUGCAUCAACUUUUCAAGUAGUUUAGAGUUAUAAUUUAACUUCAUUUUCUUCAUAAGAAAUGUACAUUUAUGUCUUAUCUUUCCAACAAGGUAUGAUUCAUGCAAUUCUGAUCAUCCUAACUUAAGUUAUGAAUUUUUCUUUACAAGCUGCUCAAUCAGGUCUUAAUCAGUCCAGUAUUAGUACCUGUUAUAGUAUCACAAAAUUAUCAGAUUCAUACAUUUCCAUACAAAUUCAAGCUUAAGUGUCUUCUACAAAGUUUUAGGUAUACUUCUUAAGAUUCAAUUGGAACUGGUCUUAACAAAUUUCACUGAGUACAAAAUUAGUUAUGGUAUCAUCAAUAGACUCUGUUCCGGAUGCACUACCACUGUAUCCAGUUUAGGUUCACUUGCAAUUUUCAUCAUCUUAAAUACAGAUUUCGAAUUUGGUCAAUUCAUAAAAGUUUUAGAUCUUUGUCUUAUCUUUCAUUUGGUAUAUCUUAGGACUAAUUUCAAUAAAUACACAAUAAGUUAUAAGGCUUCCAACACUGACUGUCCUGUUAGAACCUAUUCUGGCAGAUUUGCACUUUUAGCUCUCAUGUUAAAUUUCUUUACUCUAAGCCUUUCAAACAUCAUUUUAACAUUCAUAUAACAUAUUUAUACAGUCAAAGCAACAUUUCCAGCAAGUAAAAUCAACCCCUAAUUUCACUUAUUCAUGGCAGAAUCCAAGGAAAACAGAAAAUCAUACAAACACCAAACCUUUCUUGAAUUCCUCCUUUCUUUUCCUCUUCUAAGCUCUAGCUAUCUCCUUUCCCUUUGAUGUUCCUUCACCUAGGUCAAUUUAUGUCUUAGGAAAGGAUUGAAUAAACUAUAAAUUAAAGCUUUAUAAUUCAAAUCCAUGCAUGAAGAAAUGAGAUGAUGCUAUUUCCUACUCAUUUCUAAACUUACCUUUGAUUUUCAAGCUUGGUGUAUAUGGAACCCUAAACUUUUCUUCUUCAAUCCCUUCAAUAUAUGGCUCUUCCUUUAGAUCUUGAUCUUAGGAUGAAUUUUGGUUAAAGAAAGAAGUUGAUUUGGUGAGGUUUGGCUUGGCUUUGGUGGGAGAAAGAAAAGAAAUUCUUUGGUUUCCUAUGGUGUGAGCUACGGCAAAGUGAAAUGGAGAAGAUGACAAUCCCUUUUUCAAAUUGCUUGGUCAUUUCUUCAUCCAAUAGCUAGGUGACACAUGGAAAGUAAAAUUUGACUUUUAUAUUUUAACUUUCCAUAUUUAUACUUUAACCCACUAAACUUUUUACCAUAUUUCAAUUUAGUUUUUAAACUUUCAAUAAUCAUAGAUUGACCUACUAAAAUAUGCUUUUAGCCUUUAGAAGUCCUUUCCACUUAAGCAAGCAUGACGGAUUUAAAACAAACACCUCAAGCAAGCACGUCAGAAAACCCUAAGCACCUCCCAAAAGUGACUCGUUCCCGACUCGCUAAUCACACUGUCUACUUUAUUUCUGAAUAUGUCCGUUUCUAUAUUUGAGUUUUCUAUAAUUCAGUUAUUAGCAGAUUAGAGUUAUGCUAGUACCUCCCCUAAGUAGCUCGGGGUAAGCUAGCACCUCCCCUAAUGCCACUUACUUUAGUAGUGAAAUAGCCUAACCCAUACCUAGUGAUGUCACUGCUCUAGCUAUGGGUUUGAGGAUGUUACAAACUCGGAGGUGACCUUGUUUGGAGUAAAGGAGCCCUUUCCCUGGCGCAGACUUUAGGUAUCUUAAGAUGCGAAGUACAGCUUGCAUAUGAGUCUCGCGAGGGUCAUGCAUAAAUUGGCUGACUAAGCUAACAACAUAGGCUAUAUCCGGUCGAGUGUGUGAGAGAUAAAUCAACCUUCCUACCAAUCUCUGGUAUCUUCCAAUAUCCACGGACUUACUAGUUCCUGCUGAGAUUCUGCUGGUUUACACCCCAUCAUACCAGUUUCUUUCAACAGAUCCAGAAUGUACUUUCUUUAGGAGAUGAAAUUCCUUUUUCUGAUCUAGCCACAUCGAUACCUAGGAAAUAUUACAGUUUUUCUAGAUAUUUGAUUUUAAAUUCCUGAGCUAACAACCUCUUUAGUUGAGUCAUUUUCUCUUUGUCAUUGCCUGUCAUCACUAUAUCAUCAACAUAAACAAUAAGAAAGGUGAUCUUACCCUUGUGAUGUUUGAUAAAUAGAGUGUGAUCAGCAUUGCUUUGUUGGUAACCAAAGGACAUCAUGGCUCUGCUAAACCUGUCAAACCAAGCUCUAGGAGAUUGUUUUAGCCCACACAAAGCCUUUUUUAACCUGCACACCUUUCCUUGUGUCUUCUCAUCAGCGAACCCAAGAGGAAUUUCCAUGAACACUUCUUCCUCUAAAUCUCCAUGGAGAAAAGCAUUCUUCACAUCAAACUGUUGCAAGUCCCAAUCCAAGUUGGCUGCACAGGAUAACAAAACUCUGAUUGAGUUCAUUUUUGCAACUGGGGCAAAUUUCUCUUGGUAAUCCACUCUAUAGGUUUGGGUGAAUCCUUUAUAAACCAAUCUGGCCUUAAACUGUUCAAUUGUGCCAUCAGUUUUGUGUUUCACUGUGAACACCCAUUUACAGCCAACGAGUUUCUUCCCAGGUGGGAGAAUGACAAGCUCCCAAGUCUCAUUUUUAGCCAAUGCUUUCAUCUCUUCAAUCAUUGUUUUCUUCCAUUUAGGAUUUGCAAGAGCUUUCUUCCAAUCCUGUGGAAUAGACACAGAGAAAAUAGACAAGACAAAGGCUCUAUAGGAAGGAGAUAAGGAUUCAUAAGAAACAAAGUUAGAAAUAGGGUGUUUAGUACAAGAUCUGACCCCUUUUCUUUGUGCAAUAGGUUUAUCUAAGUCAUUGAAACAUUCAAGAGUUGUGGGUAACUCACCAGAAGAAAGAGUUGUGGGUAACUCACCAGAAGAAGAUUCAUGACUGAGUAACUCACCAGGAGAAGAUUCUUGACUCUGAGUAGACUGCAUAAUGGCUUUUUUUUGCCUUGUCUCUCCUCGAAUACCUUCUCAAAUCUAGCUUGUCCAAACGUCCAGUUCUCUCUCCCUGAUUGGACAUCUCCCCUUGUCUACUAGAACUCAAACUUUCUAGUUGAGCCAUAUCAUUCAGAAUCACAGAAUUCGGGAUCACCUCUUCUUGCUCAUUAUUCUCCCCCUGAAGAGGUGAGUGGGUGGUACUAAAGUAGGGUUCGGUUUCUUGGAAGGUAACAUCCAUACUAACUAAAUAUUUCCUAGAGGGAGGAUGAUAACACUUGUAUCCCUUCUGUGUUGGAGAAUACCCAACAAACACACAUUUAAAGGCCUUGGAAUCCAAUUUUCCUGCCGUCCUACUAUGGACAAAGCAAACACACCCAAAUACUUUUGGUGGAACAACGUAUGAAUUCUUCCCUUGUAGAACCGCCAAAGGACUCAUAAAGUCAAGGGUCUUGAGAGGCAUUCUAUUGAUAAGAUAAGCAGAUGCAAGAAUUGCAUCUCCCCAAUAUGCUUUGGGUAGAUUCAUCGUGAACAUAAGAGAUCGAGCUACCUCCAAUAUAUGCCUAUUUUUCCUCUCAGCAACGCCAUUUUGAGUACUAGUAUAAGGACAACUAGUCUGGUGUACUAUCUCAUUACUCUCCAAAUAAGUAGAAAAGCUACUAUCCAUGUAUUCUCUUCCAUUGUCAGUUCUCAAAAUUUUGACCUUAGUAUCAAAUUGAGUACAAACCAUCUUAUGAAAGGAUUGAAAACAAGAAAAGACAUCACUUUUAGCUUUAAUCAAAUAGACCCAAGUCAUUCGAGUGCAACAAUCAAUAAAGGUGACAAACCAUCGAUUACCAGACAAGGAGACAGUUUGAGUAGGCCCCCAAACAUCAGAAUGAAUAGUCGCAAAAGGAAUUUGACUUUUAUUAUGACUCAAAGGAUAGGAUGUUCUAGUGUGUUUAGCAUACUCACAAGCAUCACAAAAUAGAGAAUCAAACUGAGUUUUAGCAAACAAAUUAGGAUAAAGUUUUUGUAAGGCAAAAAAUGAUGGAUGCCCUAACCGUUUGUGCCACUGUAUUAUUUCCUGAUUGACAUCCUUAUUUUCUCCAAAAUAGGCUUGAGAUAUCGAAGAACUUGGAUCACUCUCUAACAUAUAUAAACCAUCAUGCAGCCUACCAUUGCCAAUUCUCUUUCAUGUGCGAAGAUCCUGAAUAACACAAUGAUCAGGAAAGAAUUCAAUUUUACAAUUAAGGGCAUUGGUAAUAGCACUGACAGAUAAAAGGUUGACAGGAAAGUGGGGAACAUGAAGGACAGAUGAUAAUUUAAUGUUGGAUGUGCAAAUAACAGAACCUGUUCCGGAUAUGGGAGUAAAAGAGCCAUCAGCAAUUCUGACACUAUCUUUGGUUAGAGAAGGAAAAUAAUUGAGAAAGCCUUUAGAAGAGCCUGUCAUGUGUCUAUUCGCACCAGAAUUGAUAAUCCAUGGAACAUUAUUAGGAGAGGAAGCAUUACCUGACUUUACAAAGUUAGAUGUGGUACCGGAGGACGAGGAAUCAGAGUUAGGAAUCGAGACCCUUUUACCUUCUGACAUGGUAAAGAUUUGUGAGCCGUGAAAGAAUAGGAGGUACACAAGGUUGUACACACAAGAGAGCCCAACCGAUUCACCAAAAUACCGGGUAGCGGCACGGGAAGGCCGAAAAGAUGGUUGGAAUUGUCGCCGAAGUGAUUGCAGCCGCGAUGCAGCGUCAGGCGAUUGGUCACGCGCCGGGAAAGGGAGCCGCAUGAGCCUCACGUGCGGGGUUUUUCGACGUCGGAGUUGGGCAAUCGGCCGGCGACAGUUCUGGUGCCGGCAAUGAGAGGAGGAAAGGCUCCUAGAUAGGUUAGUACAAAAAAAGGUAGAUCUAGGGUUUUAAAACCCUAAAGAGGAAAAAAUUAAAUUUGAACCCUAAAAUCAGGAAAGACUCUGAUAACAUGAAAAAUUUAAAGAAUUCUUGUAUUUCACUCUUAAUCUUUACAAUUGGUUUAUAUGACUAUUUAUACACAAAGAAUUAUAUCUAAACAGGAAGUAAAUAAUCAAAUAAUAAUUACAAAGAUAAUUAAAAAUCCUAAUCAAAUCAAAUCAUAUCCCUAAAAUCAGUUAGGAUUAACAAAUAAGUCAACAGAUUCAAACUGAAAUAACUGACCAAACUGAAUAAAUUCGAAAUUUCAUUUCUUUCCCCUUACCGGUUUGGUUUUAGUUUUAAGAAAUUUCAAUUAUUUUGAUUUAAUUUGAUUCGAUUUUGAUAAAAAACAUAUUAGUAACCGAAUUGAAUUAAAUAGUUAUUUUUAAAUAAUUUUGUAUGGAUGGGUAUAUAAAGUUAGAAAUUUAUUAUUAUUAUUAUUAUUUUUAUAGUUUUUAAUUUAAAAUUUAUUAUAUUUUCUGGUAUAUAUUAUUUAAUGGUUAUUAUUAAAAAAAAUAAGAUUAAAACACUUUAAUUAAAUUUUAAAAUACUGAAAAUAAAGUUUAAAAUUAAAAAUCUAAUUAAUUAAUCAAAUUAAUCACAGCGGUUCGUUUAGAUUUGAUUUUUUUUACCUUUGUUUUCACAAAUUUAUAAAAAUUAAAUUUCAGUUUAUUUAACUAGAUUUAAUUUUAAAUUCAACUUACUGAUAACACACCGAUGGAUGAUUUUCUCCUAUUGGGAUAAAAAUCACAAGGCUUGGCUUAGAGAGGAUAUUUGUGGAUGACCUUCAAUUUUUUUUCAAUUCUUUUUCUUUUGGUUUUGGCUGUUUUGGGGCAUGAAGCCAAAAUUAGAUCUAGUUGGGAUGCUCCACAUCUGAAAAUGAUGUUUUGUCAAUGAAGGUAGGUACUGGAAGUGUUGACCAUCCAUUGUUCUGAAUCUCAAGUGGAAGCCAACAUCAAAACACCCAAUCUGGAAUUCAUUAACAACAAAUGAGGGAGAAUGAAGCAAAACUAAGAACAUACAUUUACACAAAUUCUAACUGGGCACCAAUUCAAACUAGGAAAUAUACAUAAUGACCAUCCAUUGUUCUGAAUCUCAAGUGGAAGACAAUCCAUGCUUGUCUGUUGGUUCUGGACAACUCAAUAUGAUGCAAAAAUCACAGCAUCUUGUCACCCAUUUGUCUCGUAGCCUUGUUUGAGUUGCUGAAAUAUUUACUUAAGCUAAAGUUAGAUUAGCAAAUAUAAUUAUCUUGUGUUGCAGGCAGAGGUUGGUCGAAAGUAGCUGAGGGUGACAAUCUAUCUUUGCUGAAGGGACUCUCUAUUUGCUUUAGUCUGCUAUUUCUGUGGGGUGGCAUAAGGUUUAUGCUUAUAAUAUAGAUUUUGUGUAUUGGUCAAAUGGGUAGAUUCACCUAUCCAGCGCCCUCCAGCUGCCUAUUCUUGGCCCCCAAGCCCCUAACAGAGAGCAAUCUCACAGUCAACUAAGAAUCCACAAGUUGGAUUACCAACUUCUCUAAUGCCAACACUUCAUAUUCAAACAUCUCGCUUUGACACUUCAUAUAUAUACACCCCACUUAGGAGGUAUGUGCUGCAAACACACAGAAAGAAAACAAAAACGAUGGGCAAGUUUUGGGGAAGCAGCAGCUGGGGGAUUCUUGCAGUAUCUCUGCUAGUGUUGGGCGUUUUGGUGCCAGAAGGAUGUUGUCAAGACACCUCUUGCCUAAACCAGCUUGUUCCUUGCCUCAACUACCUUAAUGGAACAGAAGAUGUACCCAGUAGUUGCUGUGAUCCUCUACAAAAUGUAAUAAAAUCAGACCAACAAUGCAUAUGUAGUAUGAUAAGCAACCAAGGUAGUAAUCAAGCUGAGCAGGCUGGAAUCAAUGUUACUGAAGCUCAACAAUUGCCUGCUAGAUGUGGAAUCCAUGUCAAUCCUCUCAAUUGCCUUUCUUCUGGUAUAUAUCUUCCUUUCUUUCUUCUUUCUAUACCAUUUUCUUCUAAGAAAUGCUUAUCUGUACUCGUAUAUGAUGGAUUUCAUUCCGAAUUAAAGAAUUCACUUUUCUUUGUUAUCUAAAUCUUUUUAUGUGUUGAUUUUUUGUGCCAGGUUCUCCUAAUACCAAGAACUCAGUUGAUAAUUCUUCAGGGAUUGUGUUGUUCCCUUGUUGGAGCAUGAUGGUAGCCGCAGCUUUAUCAAUUGCUCUUCACAUUUUGUGGUGUAAAGCUGAUUGAUAGCUUAAGACUGGUCAUGGAAAUACAAGCAAAAAUGAACACUUGAGAUCAAUAGAGAGUGUGUUGAUUUUUGUUACUUUCUUAUAAUUUUCUUAUUGUUACUAUUAUUAUUUUCUAAGCAUAAAUAAGUAAAUUAUUGGUUGAGAUUCCAUAUUCCUUUCUGAUGCUUUAACCUUGUGUUUAAGUGUAAAUACAAUAUUUAAAAUCAACAUACACCCAGUAACACUUACAAACAACAAGGUUUAUAGUAAA